rnacentral:lncRNA from 1 species
UUUUUUUUUUUGUCGAAGUUGUGUGAUUAAUGUAAGACACCGCCACUUUGAGUUCUCGUUUCACGCUAUUCCUCCUAACACAUACCCUAAAUGUAUUUUCACAAAACUUUGUAUCAUUAGCUUGGAAUGCUAAUGCGGCAUCCAAGGAGCUAGGGAAAUCUCUCUCCUACAUGUGAUGCAUAUAACUCGGAGAUUGAUGCAACGGAAACAAGUUUUUCGCCUCGUAAUACUUGCCUAGACACAUUUUUCAGCAGUCAUAAAAUUUAUAAACUAAGUGUCACAGACAUGUUGAGUUGCUAUUCACGUGUUAUAAUAUUAUGUGUUCAAUUCUGAUAGAACUGAGCCAAGAAAAGAAUUACUACAUGAAAAUUAUAAUCAGAACAGCUUCCAUUACCUGUAGCGAUUACAUUACAACAAGGGUUUCUACCUGACAUAAUCUCAAACUCACUGCAUAGCCAGGUGGAAUACAAAAUUCCACAAAAAAUAGGCAACCUAACUAGAACUAGAACUAAUGAUUGUCCUACAAAAAUAGAACCUCCGGACAAAGCAUUCACUGGGCAGCUCAGUCCUCACUAAUACAAGUCCCACAUGAUGUCGGGAACAAAAUCCGGUGAAAGGUUAAGCCUCCUAGUACUCGUGUAGUUUGGUGAACCAAAUACAAUACAGUAGCACAAAAUGUCGGACUGUUCAACUGACAGCCUUUUAAUGGUGUUUACUGCGAUUUUCCUCCACAAUUCUCUGAAACUCUUUUUGGCUGGUGGAAAUGAGACGCUUGACCAUGUCGUAAGUAGUGAGCCUAAUGCUGCAGUUGAAAGAAGGAGAUUUCAUCAGCUAAUACAGUACGAGGCUUGAAGCACCGAUAGAUCCCCAAGCAUGGAACAAUUAUCAAAAUUGAGCUUAGGAAUGAGAUCAUUCGACAUAUACUUUUAACAUAAUGCAAGAGGGAAAAAAUAGACAGGGUGUGCAUGGAACCUGCUGUUCGGUAAAGUUUUCAAAGCAUUAGGCAAGAAACCCCUAUAUAAGCCUACAAGUCCAUCACGCUCCACAAUACCUGCACAAGAAACAUCAACUCAGAUCAAAGACUUUGACUAUGGACCUAAAAAUGUAACUUCAUUACAAACAGAGACAGAAGCAAAGAACAAGAUAAUAAAAUUUUCCUAUAUACUAUAACUUGAGUCCAACACACACAUACAAACCCGUUAAUAAGAUACAACAACAACAACAACAACAAAGCCUUUUCCCACUAAGUGGGGUCGGCUAUAUGAAUCCUAGAACGCCAUUGCGCUCGGUUUUGUGUCAUGUCCUCCGUUAGAUCCAAGUACUCUAAGCCUUUUCUUAGAGUCUCUUCCAAAGUUUUCCUAGGUCUUCCUCUACCCCUUCGGCCCUGAACCUCUGUCCCGUAGUCACAUCUUCGAACCGGAGCGUCAGUCGGCCUUCUUUGCACAUGUCCAAAUCACCGGAACCGAUUUUCUCUCAUCUUUCCUUCAAUUUCGGCUACUCCUACUUUACCUCGGAUAUCCUCAUUCUCAAUCUUAUCCUUUCUCGUGUGCCCACACAUCCCACGAAGCAUCCUCAUCUCUGCUACACCCAUUUUGUGUACGUGUUGAUGUUUCACCGCCCAACAUUCUGUGCCAUACAACAUCGCUGGCCUUAUUGCCGUCUUAUAAAAUUUUUCCCUUGAGCUUCAGUGGCCUACGACGGUCACACAACAUGCUGGAUGCACUCUUACACUUCAUCCAUCCAGCUCGUAUUCUAUGGUUGAGAUCUCCAUCUAAUUCUCCGUUCUCUUGUAAGAUAGAUCCUAGGUAGCGAAAACGGUCGCUUUUUGUGAUCUUCGCUAAAUUGCUCCGGUCAUUAGUGUGGAUAAGUAUAUAAAUGGAUAGAGAUAGGAAAAGCAAACACAAGAUGUAUGUGGUUCACCCAGAUUGGCUACGUCCACGGAAUAGAAGAGUUCUCAUUAAUUGUGAAGGGUUUACACAAGUACAUAGGUUCAAGCUCUCCUUUAGUGAGUACAAGUGAAAUGAUUUAGUACAAAUGACAUUAGAGUACAAAUGACAUUAGGAAAUAUUGUGGGAGAAGGAUCUCGUAAUCACGAAACUUCUAAGUAUCGGAGUGUGGUAUCAUCUUGACUUGCCUUAUCUGUCUCAUAGGUAGAUGUGGCAGCUUCUCUGGAAGUACUCUUCCUCCAUCCAGGGGUGGUAUCUAUAACUGGUGGAGAUGCACAAGGUAAUGUAUCAAUGUCACUUGAAGCUUACUUGUAGUUUCAGGCUUGGUCAAGCGCGAUACAAACCAUGUAGUAGGAGUCCCCCAAGUCGCCGAGCUAGGGGAUUUGCUGAAAGAGGUGACAGACAAGGUAAGCAAUCAGAGCUCCGGCUGAUUGUUCACCUUCUCCCCAUCUUGCAGCAGCAUGAAGGAUAAAGAGAAGAAAAAUGAGAAGAGAUGAUAUGGGAUACUUUUGCUUUUGAAGAAGUAACUUUCCACAGGCUUAUUCUUGAACUGAGCUGGAGGGUUUUUCUGGUUUCCUCCAGAGUAUAAGGCUGACUGAAGAAUUUGAGGGUCAAAACAAGUCCAUCAAAUCUAGAGUACGUUCGACCCUGCUGAUAUGGGAUACUUUUGCUUUUGACAGAGUAAUGGAUGGAUCGGCACGUGUGCUGUUACGCUUGUCUCCACAUGCUUCCUUGUAUCCUUCGCACUUGCCCUAUCUGUUCCUCAAGCAGAUGCGGUAUCUUCCCUGGCAACAUAAGAUGUUGAAGAUGAGUACUCGAGAGCAAUGCCAGGUAAGUAAUCAGGUAAGGGGUUCCAGGCUGUCAGUUCCUGGCUGGGAGCUUGAUUUCAAGUGCUGACUGAUUGCUCUCUUUCUCCUUGUCUUGCAGGUAAAAACAAGGCCAAAGGAAAAGACAGGGAAAAAGCAUGAUAUGGGAUACUCUUGCUUUUAACCCUGAUGAUAUGAGAUAUUCUUGCUCUAGUAUAGCUUGUUUGCAGAGGUAUUAUCGGGGGGAAAGAAAGCUGAAUAUUUCGAAAGGCUUCGUUGGGAGUGCCCUCUCAGAUAUGAGGAAGGGUUGAGCAUUUUUGCAGGUCUGCCUGUCCGUUGGGGAUGGAGGUCGACAUAUAUAGGAGUCUCCCUAACAACAAGUAGUAAUGCUAUUCCUUUACCCUACUUGGUCAUAGCACGGUAGUGGGAGCUGCCAGCUUCACAUGUUUUAACUCUGUCAGAGCACUUUGAAAAAAGUGGUAUGUGGUAUCUGGCUCUCGAGAUUCGGAGAACGAUGCUUCUUCGAUUUUUGAGAAAGCAAUCAUGGUGGGGGUCUGGCUCUCGAGAUUCGGGGAGCAGUGUCUCUUCGAUUUUUGAGAGAGUAAUCAUGUUGGGAGUCUGGCUCUCGAGAUUCGGAAGGCGGUGCCUCUUCAAUUUUGGAGUAAGCAAUCUUGUUGGGAGUGUUUUUCUCGGAUGUGAGUAAAGGUUGGGCAUGUUUGCUAGUCUACCUUGCCACGAAGCACGGAGGUUGACACACAGGGACUUUCCAAUUAUCCAGCAGUGGUACUGUUCCUUUACCCUUGUGGGUAAUAAUAUGGUAGCUAGACCUUCAAAAUUUAUGUGUCUAAACUUUGUUAGUGCUGUUUCUUUGCUAUUCUUUUACCUUUCUUGGUCAGAGCGAUGUAGUGGGAGCUGCAAGCUUCACGUGCUCAACUUUGGCAGAGACUUUGACAAAGUUAUCUGUGGUACCCAUGAGCUAUUGUUGCGUGUGGGAAGUGGGUGAUUGAACAGUAAGAUUCAUGUGCUUUCUACUUCACCAGAAGUCUUCGACAGAAUGCCCAUAAUUUCCGCAAAGCUGAGUGUGCAUGUGACAGGUGCUGACAAGGCUAGAAAAGAAGGUGCCUCUUCGAUUUCUGAGAUCAGCCCUCGUGGUCUCUGAGCAGCCCAGCUUUUGAGAAAGCGAGCGCCUCUUCGAUUGAUUCGAAGAACGAUGCCUCUUCGAUUUUUGAGAAAGCAAUCAUGCUGGGGGUCUGGCUCUCGAGAUUCGGGGAGGAGUGUCUCUUCGAUUUUUGAGAAAGUAAUCAUGUUGGGAGUCUGGCUCUCGAGAUUCGGAGGGCGGUGCCUCUUCGAUUUUGGAGCAAGCAAUCUUGUUGAGAGUGUUUUCUCGAAUGUGAGUAAAGGUUGGGCAUGUUUGCUAGUCUACCUUGCCACGAAGCACAAAUGUUGACACACAGGGACUUUCCAAUUAUCCAGCAAUGGUACUGUUCCUUUACCCUCUCUUCGAUUUUUGAGAAAGUAGUCAUGUUGGGAGUCUGGCUCUCGAGAUUCGGAGGACGGUGCCUCUUCGAUUUUGGAGCAAGCAAUCUUAUUGGGAGUGUUUUCUCGAAUGUGAGUAAAGGUUGGGCAUGUUUGCUAGUCUACCUUGCCACGAGGCACAGAGGUUGACACACAGGAACUUUCCAAUUAUCCAACAGUGGUACUGUUCCUUUACCCUUGUGGGUAAUAAUAUGGUAGCUAGACCUUCAAAAUUUAUGGGUCUAAACUUUGUUAGUGCUGUUUCUUUGCUAUUCUUUUACCCUUCUUGGUCAGAGCGAUGUAGUGAGAGCUGCAAGCUUCACGUGCUCAACUUUGGCAGAGAACUUUGGCAAAGUUAUCUGUGGUACCCAUGAGCUAUUGCUGCGUGUGGGAAGUGGGUGAUUGGACAGUAAGAUUCAUGUGUUUUCUACUUCCCCAGAAGUCUUCGACAGAAUACCCAUAAUUUCCGCAAAGCUGAGUGUGAGUGUGACAGGUGCUGACAAGGCUGGAAAAGUAGGUGCCUCUUCGAUUUCUGAGAUCGGCCCUCGUGGUCUCUGAGGAGCCCAGCUUUUGAGGAAGCGAGCGCCUCUUCGAUUUCUGAGAUCGGCUUUCGUGGUCUUUGAGCAGCCCAACUUUUGAGAAAGCAAACACCUCUUCGAUUUAUGAGAUCAACCCUCGUGGUCUCUAAGCAGCCCAGCUUUUGAGAAAGCAAACGCCUCUUCGAUUUCUGAGCAGGCGCCUCUUCGAUGUCUGAAGCUCCGUCGAGUGCAGCUUUUUACAGGGGCUGGCAUUAAGUUCCAAAGCACACUUGAAUCUCCACCAGUAGAAGCUCCAUUCUUGCACUUCUAAGAUCUUGAUUUGUCCGACCUCUUCUCUCUUCAAUACCUUUUGAAAAUGUCUGGCCCCUCCGACCGUCGUUUUGACUUGAACCUUGUUGAAGAGGCAGCCCCGCCUUCUCCAGACAACAUAUGGCGCCCAUCCUUCGUCUCCCCUACUGGUCCUCUUACCGUUGGGGAUUCCGUGAUGAAGAAUGAUAUGACCGCUGCGGUGGUGGCCAGGCCAGGAACCUUCUCACUCCCAAAGAUAACAGACUACUUUCCAAACGGUCUGAUGAGUUAGCUGUUAAGGAUUCACUGGCUCUCAGUGUUCAGUGUGCAGGUUCUGUGUCUAAUAUGGCCCAACGCCUAUUUGCUCGAACCCGCCAAGUUGAAUCAUUGGCGGCCGAAGUGAUGAGUCUCAAACAGGAGAUUAGAGGGCUCAAGCAUGAGAAUAAACAGUUGCACCGGCUCGCACAUGACUAUGCUACAAACAUGAAGAGGAAGCUUGACCAGAUGAAGGAAACUGAUGGUCAGGUUUUACUUGAUCAUCAGAGAUUUGUGGGUUUGUUCCAAAGGCAUUUAUUGCCUUCGUCUUCUGGGGCUGUACCGCGUAAUGAAGCUCCAAAUGAUCAACCUCUGAUGCCUCCUCCUUCUAGGGUUCUGUCCAGUACUGAGGCUCCGAAUGAUCCCCCUCCGAUGCCUUCUCUUUCUAGGGCUCUACCGACUGCUGAGACUUCUCCUAAGCAACCUUUGUGAAGGCUCCAUCUUGUUUGUUUAUUUUGACUCAUGUAUAUGUACAUAUUUGUAGCUUAUCGGGGAUAUCAAUAAAUAAGUUUUUCUUCAUUUCAACGUAUUGUGUUAGAUACACCAAAGCCUUCUUCGCUAAGUUCUUUGAAUUUUCUUUUGUUGAAGCUUGUAUGUUGAAGCUUUCUGAGUGGAGCAUGUAGGUUGGGGUAGUGUUCCCUUAAUUUUUCGAGUGAGGAAAACUUCUCGGUUGGAGACUUGGAAAAUCCAAGUCACUGAGUGGGAUCGGCUAUAUGAAUCUUAGAACGCCAUUGUGCUCGGUCCUGUGUCAUGUCCUUCGUUAGAUCCAAGUACUCUAAGUCUUUUCUUAGAGUCUCUUCCAAAGUUUUCCUAGGUCUUCCUCUACCCCUUCGGCCCUGAACCUCUGUCCCAUAGUCGCAUCUUCUAAUCGGAGCGUCAGUAGGCCUUCUUUGCACAUGUCCAAACCACCGUAACCGAUUUUCUCUCAUCUUUCCUUCAAUUUCGGCUACUCCUACUUUAUCCCGGAUAUCCUCAUUCCUAAUCUUAUCCUUUCUCGUGUGCCCACACAUCCAACGAAGCAUCCUCAUCUCCGCUACACCCAUUUUAUGUACGUGUUGAUGCUUCACCGCCCAACAUUCUGUGCCAUACAGCAUCGCCGGCCUUAUUGCCGUCCUAUAAAAUUUUCCCUUGAGUGCCAGAUGGUAAAAAUAUUUAACAUCAUGGUUUUACCUGGAAUGGCAUCCAAAACCGUCUUGUAAGGUGUGCCCUUCAUUUGCAUCUGUCUUCUCACAGUAUCUAAAGGAUAACAUGUGAGUGUGGCAAGGGAAGCUGACACCAAACCCGUUAAUAGAGAUGCUUCAGCUUUCUUUUGAAAAUCUUCUGGUAGAGACUUCUUCACCCUGCAAUCCAAAGACAACUAUAACAAACAUAGAAUACAUUAUUGUAUUAUCCUUAUUGUGACAAAGAAUGAGGUACGAGUGGACUCACAAGUCAAAAAUGCAAAAGUUCACAGCAAUAUAUGGAGCAAUUCCGAUCAGAGAAGGUCCGAGACCAUAGUAGAAGGAUGCAACUCCUUCCUCUUUUAGCAUGUUUAAGGCAAUCUGGAAACAACACUUCGAAAUUCUUCUUUCAUGAAGAUAAUGGCAGCUAUUCAUAAAUAACACUAUCAGGUCAGUCAUACCUCAGACAUAGUUCGGUACCCUGGUUCAACUGCUAGGCGCAACCUCAGAACAUCCAAUGGGUAGGUUACCUACAAGGAGGAAAAUAGUACAUCUUUGAAUAGUUCGACAUAACAGGUAACGAAAAAAGGUAGAUAAAAAAACCACAAUAUUAAAGUCUACCCAUAGAGUAGACUUUAGAAGUAAAAUACAAGGUUUACAUGUUCCAUGGAGUACUACCCUGACUAACAGGUUUAUGAUAACACGAAAAGGCUCACCAAAUAAAAAUGUCGCAGUACCACAAUUGACCAUAAAUGUAUUACUCACAAAGGUGGAUGUCAUGCCAGCACAAGCACCUGCUGCAAGUCUUCCUAGAAGAGAUAGCUCACUAUCUUUGCCCCUAAAGAGUUUCUUCAAAAUCAAAUUACAAAAGAAGCUUUAAGUUCUGAAUACAUGGAAUGUUAUACAAACAUUUUCGUAAAGAGGGUUUCACUAUUACCUUAUAAGCUUCAUAAGCAAAAAGCUGGACAGCACUGUAAGGGAGAAUCCGUAUCACCUAAACAAUCAAAUGAAUUUUCAAAAAUUAAAUGCAACUCAAGCAAACCCCUUCCGUAGAGCAUGGGAAAGUAAUAUAACAAAAUGGGAAGUUUAAUCAGCAAAGAACCUGAGGAAGGUUGCCUUUCCAGUACCCUUUAAUCCCUUCUUCCUUCCCUAUCAUUGUUAUAGCCUGCAGGGUAUGGCCCGACAUUAAACAUGAGGAGGUGAUCAUACAGGAUAAUGUCAAAUGCUUCUAAAAGAUAUGUUAAUAAUAAAGUAAUAAAAUUUUGAAAGACCAUAAACUAUGCAACUCUUGAAAAGAUCUUAAAUCUACAUUAUGUAAGCCACAAAACCACAAUAUGAGAAAUUAGCGAGCAGGCAAUGGAGCUGAAUGCAUGACUGUAAGACAAAUGCAUAUAAUUUAUGAGGUUUUAAAAACUGGGCAGAGCCAGAGGAUGGUCCGGACCAACCAUAACAUACCUCGACAAAACUGAUAGCCUUCUUAGCGCUUUGUUGCCCAACUCGCACGCCAUGAGUCUGCAAAGAUGUGAACAUAUUUUCGAGUACUGAACAUUUCCAAUUAAACUACUACUUGAUUUAGAUCGAAAGCAAUAGCGAAGAAUACGAUUUGCUACUAAUAUACGGCCCUUAACCACAAUGCAAUUAACACAAUAACAAAUCAAAUAUUGAAUUUUUUUUUCCCCGCAAUCAGAAAUCUUUGCCUUCCUUGCAGCAAAAGCAACCACCCAGAAUUACUUUCGAAAAUUCCGGAGUAAUGUACUUUGUUCUAUGCUAUUUUCUCAAAUCAGCUACUUCCAAAAUUCACAAAUGCAAAUAAAAGUUUUAAAUUUUGUAACGAAUGCCUUCUUUAAUUUUCCAGAAGCAACAAAUUUUGAACAUUCUAUCUGUAUUUUCACCGACACCAGAAAGCAAAACGCAAAGGGCGGCACAAUCUCUUGCAUACGACGCCGUACGGAAGCAUAUCGAGUAAUAAAAUUGUGGGAAAUGUAAAAAAAUUAACGGCAGAGAGAGAGAGAGAGAGAGAGUUAAGAGCACCUGCAUAAGAAUCUUGAUGCGGUCGAGCGGAGCCGUGACGCUCUUAGCGGCGGCUCCAGCGACGGCUCCGGCAGCAAAUAGAGCAACGUCUUUGGGCACGCAUGCGAGAAUAGCCAACGGAUGCUUCAACAGCUGAGCCGAAGUCGGCGAAAACUCGUUCCUCUGUUCUCCCCUUUCCGCCACCGAAAUGCAGGCGAAAUUGAACCGAGUACCACCGCCGCUGCUGAAGCUGAGAUGCGCGGUCGUCCACAGCGGUUCGUAGUGGUCCGCGGCGUCGGUGAGGGCGCCGCGGGAGGCGUUGAGGCUCGGGAUGCUCCGCCAUGAUACAAUGGCUCUGGAGUCUUCGGCCAUGGCGCGGGAAUUUUGAAGAAGGGAGGUGGAAGAGUGAAGGGAUAAGGCGAAGGAGGCAGUUGCAGAGAGAGAGCAGAGUGCAGGGGAAGGCACACUUUGUUCCGACUCUCAAAUCUGUAGAGACAGGCGCGUAUAUGUUAUUUGCUAAUUUGGUAAGAAAUGCGCGUGUUCUAAAAAGGAGGCGACCUUUGGGGGCCUUGCUCAUUUGGUUAUAUUAUGUAUAAUUGGGCUUUGUAUUAAGAUGAAGGUUAAUCUUAUAAUGGACUAGUAAUAAUAUGAUUUAAAUUUGCUUUUGGUGAGAAUCAAACUAAGACAUUUUACUUACAAGUGAAGAGAAAUAUCAUUAUACCAUAAUGCUAAAUGUCAAUAUACGAGAAUGACUUCGAUGGACGGAAAAUUUUCACCACAUGACAUAUUUCUUCACAUAGUAAUGUAUUGUUGGAUUGGAAUAUUACAAUGACUAGGGCAGUUUGCCUUUUUAUUUUUUUUAUUUGAAAAACUAAUUUAUAUUUUUAUUAAAAAUUUAUUAAAAAGAAAGAAAUAAAGCAAAACCAUGAAACCUAACCACCCACUAAUGCGGGAGUUUUUGUUUUUCUAAAGUUUUAAAUUUAAAUUCAUUAAAAAUUAAAACGUGGUAAAUUAUUUUAAUUUUUUUAGUUCAAUUGUAAUUUUUGAAAUUCUUAAAGGACAAUUUAUAGUAUUUUGAAUGUUUCACCAUUUUGGGGUGCUCAAUUAUAUACAUAGACUAGCCUUUUGCCACAUGAAAACAUGAAACCUAGCCACUCACUAACGUGGGAGUUUUUUUUUUCCCUAAAAUUUUAAGUUUAAAUUCAUUGAAAAUUAAAAUGUGCUAAAUUACUUUAACUCAUUUUGGUUCAAUUGUAAUUUUUGAAAUUCUUAAAGGACAAUUCAAGGUAUUUUGAAUGUUUCACCAUAUUGGGGUGCACUUUAUAUAUAUAGAAGAUGAACUCAUUUCAUAAAAUUUGAGAAACUUUUUUAUGUUAUCGCAAUACUGUUCUUGAUUUAGUUGAUAACGUAUACUAUUUGUGUAGAGUUUAGUAGUUAGUAAUGACUAACAUGUUGUGUGGUUUAGUCCUUUUUUUGUCAACAGUUUAAGUGGGGUUUUGUGAAGAAGGGAAGAGGGGGUAGGGGAGCCUCGAACUCUAGUGAAGAGGGCCACAAGGGUGCUUGAUUUUAGGGUUCUUCAUACCUGGAUAUACCAGGACUCCUGUGCCCCGACUAGACCUGUAAACGGGUCGGGUUUAUCAGAUUUGGGUCGGGUUCAAUCUGACCUGUUAAGUUAACGGGUCAUCCGAACCCGACCCGUUUCACUCGUUAACACACGUUAACAAUUAUUAUUAUUAUUUUUUUUUGCAUAGAGUUUAUUUUUUGCAUAAGGUUAACGGGUUAGGUCCAAAAUGCCAGAUCUAGCCCCGACCCUUGAUUAGAUAAAGCUUCCCACCCUAUGACCCACAAUUAAUAAUGAGCCUUGCGACGAGGCGUGGAAAUUCCCCAUGCUACAGUUCCUCCCCCGUUUGUUCCUGAGUUGGGUUGGGGGACAUCCGAGCGAUUGCCUUCGUAGUUCCAAACGUGAUCACAAGAUGCACAAUAAAAAUAGGGGUGUGAUAUCCACACACCCUUUUUUACUUCUCUCACACUCUUUUAAUUUUCGGCCGUCGGACCGGAUGAAUUAAAGAAGAUCAAAUGACAGAAAUUAACAAGGAGUGUGAGAGAAGUAAAAAGGGGUGUGUGAAUAGCACACCCCUAAAAAUAAGACCAAUAAAGACUUCAAAAGGGACCAUUUAAGUUGCAGAUCGUAAUGCUCCUAGAAAGGCAUAUGCAGUAGCCCUCCUCAGCUUAGCCCUUCUCUAUAGUAGAAUACCUUGUGAGUUAAGCCAUUAAAAAUCGUGUAUAUGUCUCAUAUACGUUUAAUGACUUAUCUCAUAAAUUAUAAUAAUUUAGAAUAUCAAUCUCGUAUAAAAAAAUGCUUAAUUAUUUAAUGCUAUAUAGAAAAUAUAAACUGAUCAAUAUAUUUUGUAGCAUGUGGGUUAGUGGCUGUAUUAAAAGGAUGCACAACAUUUUUAUAUUAUGGUGGACAAAAAGGUAUAUCGGCAAUAUUUGUAUCGUGGUGGACAAAAAUUACUCUUGUUAAUAGUAUAAUAAUUAAUAUAGAAUCAAAAUAACAGAUACUUAGAUUGAAAAAUCAAUUAGAACUUACAAAUUUUGUCUCACAACCAAAAUAGCGAGAGAGAUUGAAUAAUCGAAGAGUAUGAACAAAUAAAGAUAUAAAUCGAAAAAUGAGACGAGUGAGUCAACUUGUGAACUAAAACUUAAGUAAAACCGAGUGGCUAUGCUUAUCUCUCAGAUGAGUCAAAUGAGAUAAGAAAUGGACAUAAAAUCGUACGUACUCAGUUGCAUAUAAGUUUCUUUGUUGUUUAUUAAACGAGCAAAAUGGGUUAAAUCUGGACUAAAAACAAUGACCUAACCCUUACCUUGUCCUUGAAUGAAAAAGGAGUUAGGCGGGCCCAACCUUCUGAAGCCCAAGUACAAAAAAUGAGCUGACCUAAAUCAUGGCACAAUGGAAUCCAUUCAAGAGGCCCAAUAGUAACCUUGAGUUCCCACCAUAAUCUCAAGUCAAUGCCUCUAGGGUCAGACUGGUUUUUUUUUUGGAUUGAACCCCAUGAAACUCUAAGCCAUCUUAAGGAAUGAACCCCAUGAAAUUCUAAGGCUUAGGUCAGAUUUGGUAUUGAGGUGAUUUUAAAAAAAUUGGGUAUGAAAAAAAGUUGGGAGAGUUUUUGGUGUUUGGUAAACACUCCAAAUCAGCUUUAUUUCAAAGUUUUAGAUGGAAAAAAGUUAAAAAUGGGAACCUAGAAUUUCUGAGGAAAUCUUUGUAUGAAAUCACAGUCUAUCUGCUAAAAUCCAAUCAUUUCGGCCUCUCGUUUCAAUCACUUUCAAAAUCUAAAGCAUGCAUUGUUUUGGUCCUUUUUGGCAACAUAUAUAUACAAGUCGGUUUGUAUCCUAGAUAUUGUUAACUAGGUACAGAAAAGAAAUUAAAGUGCUUAAAACAAGCGUUUUCCUUGAAUCAUACAAGAGUACAAAUAAAUUACAAAACCCACACCAAUCUUGAAUUUAUUUAUUCUUUUAUUGGAUUACAAAUCAAAGAAAUGGACCUCUAUGCCAUAUGCCACAACUUUAUUCAAAACAUGAAAUGAAAAAUCAGAUGAUAAAACAAUCUGAUCAUAUCGAUAUGGAGCUAUACAUGACAUAUAUAUUAUAUAGAUAUUCUGUAGCCGGUCAUCAUCAAGCUUCAACAGUGCUACCAAUUCGUUUUGGAUCCCCAAGCAAAACGAAAAUUGUUUGCGUUCAGACAGGCUCCAGAACACAAUCCGAAAUUGAACUAAUAUAACAAAGCUGCAUCCAUCCAGCCAAACCUGCUGAUCAAGGCUCAAUCUUUUGUAAUCGGGAAAUAAUGACCCCGAAACGCCAA